rnacentral:lncRNA from 1 species
UGUUUUGGCAUUAAUUUGCAAUGUUAAGUGAAUGUGUUAGGAUUGUGUUUCCGCAUUCAUAAAAGAGUAGCUUCGAGCUAGAGAAUAUCAUAUGGUUGAUAUGUGUAUGCAUACAUGCAUUCAUGAUUGUAUGUGAACAUUAGAAACUUGGGUUCCAAUAACGAAAAUGGAUUAUGUGUCCAUAAUGAAGCCGAGGAUC